rnacentral:rRNA from 1 species
AUUGAACGCUGGCGGCAGGCCUAACACAUGCAAGUCGAGCGAGCGGCGGACGGGUGAGUAAUGUAUGGGGACUGCCCGAUAGAGGGGGAUAACUACUGGAAACGGUGGCUAAUACCGCAUACUGUCGGAUAACCCAUAUGGGAUUAGCUAGUAGGUAAGGUAAUGGCUUACCUAGGCGACGAUCCCUAGCUGGUCUGAGAGGAUGAUCAGGCACACUGGGACUGGGAAAAGGCCCAGACCCCGAGGGGGGCAGCAGGGGGGAAUAUUGCAACAGGGGGGGAAGCCUGAUGCAGCCAUGGCGCGGGGAUGGAAGAGGCCCUAGGGUUGUAAAGUACUUUCAGUUGGGAGGCGUUACCGACAGAAGAAGCACCGGCUAACUCCGUGCCAGCAGCCGCGGUAAUAC